AUCCGCACCGUCACGCCGCGCCCGGAGUCAAAACCCGCCUCACCCAGCCAGUUGCCUUUAAGGUAGAUGCCGGGGCUAUGGGAAUAAUGGGUGGGGACUUUGGUUUUACGGUUGGUGUGGCAGAUGCUG
rfam:Kluyvera intermedia strain CAV1151, complete genome.